UUUCAUUAUUAUUUCUUAUUAUUUAUAACUUCAAAUAUUAAUAUUUAAUUGACCCUAAUACUAAUUAUAAAACAUUUAAUUAAUUAUAUAAAAAUGUAUCUAGAAUAAGUUUAACAUCAUAUAAUAGUGAGAUCAAUAAUCAUUUGAUCAAAUAUUUAUGAAGUUUUAUGCAAAAUCAAUUAAAGUAUAUAAAAUGAUAUUUAAAUCUAUAUGUAAAUAUUCUAUCUAAUUGAGGGAGAGAGAGAGUAUAUUUAAAUUAUAUAGUUUUAACUAAAACUAUAUAGUUUUGCUGCUAGUACUAAGAGUUAUUAAUAUAUUGUCUCUUAAUUCCUAACAAUGGCUGAUUAAAAAAGACUUGCAAGAUAUACCUUUUAGAAGGUAUAAAGAGAGUGUCUACUUAAAGAGACAUACAUUGGGAGAGAAAUGUAUAAACUAAUAGUAUAUUUAUUCAUUUAGAGAGAGAGAUAUUAAACGUAACAAUAUCUAUGAUUGUAAAAUUUAGUAUUAUUUAAUCUUGUAAGAGUUUAAAAAUUAAGAGAGAGAAAAAUAAUAGAAAUAAAUAUUAUAAAUUAAGAGUGAAUUUAAGAUAAUAUCACUUGUAUCAUCCAGUGUUGUCAAGGUGCUAGGCAAGGUGAGGCACCUUCACUGAGGCAAGCGCCUCAAUAUCUAUGAUUGUAAAAUUUAGUAUUAUUUAAUAUUGUAAGAGUUUAAAAAUUAAGAGAGAGAAAAAUAAUAGAAAUAAAUAUUAUAAAUUAAGAGUGAAUUUAAGAUAAUAUCACUUGUAUCAUCCAGUGUUGUUAUGAGGCACCUUCACUGAGGCAAGCGCCUCAGUGAAGGGAGGCGCCAGGCGCUGCCUCUUUUAUAUAGACUAAUUUAUUUUUUAAUGAGUGCAAAGUGGAGCAGCAAAUGAAAGAAGAGAAGAAGAAGAAGAAGGAUGGGAAAAGUUUAUUAGAGGAGGACGAGGAAUAAAUAUUAUAACUUAAGAGUGAAUUUAAGAUAAUAUCACUUGUAUCAUCCAGUGUUGUUAAGGUGCCAGGCAAGGUGAGGCACCUUCACUGAGGCGCUCGCCUCAGUGAAGGGAGGCGCCAGGCGCUGCCUCAUUUAUAUAGACUAAUUUAUUUUUUAACGAGUGCAAAGUGGAGCAGCAAAUGAAAGAAGAGAAGAAGAAGAAGGAUGGGAAAAGUUUAUCAGAGGAGGAGGAGGAGGAGACAUAGUAAAUGCUUUUGGCAUCUUCCAUAAUCCAAUAUCUUCUAUUCUCUAUCCAAGUAUGCUACACACAACAAUUUUUUUCUUUUGUUUUUCUUCUGCAAUUUUAGGUUAUGUAUUUAUUUUGUUUUAUUGCUUAUAAUUGAAUACUUUUAGAAAAUAUAGGUUACUUUCUUAUUUAUUAUAAAUGAGUGUCAUUCUAUUGUUUUUAAUUUGAGUUUUAAAAUUAUAAUUUUUGUUUAUUUAUUUUGGAUGCCUGAGGAGGAGGAGGACCAAACCAAUUGAAAUUGAUAAUUCAGUUCGUCUUCUAUAAUAAAUUGGUGCGAUUUGAUUUUAAGAUAAAAAGUCUUUGGUUUAUUUGGUUCAGUUCGGUUUUCGUUAAGAAAAAUUCGGAGAAACCGAACCGAUUGAUAUAAUAAUAUUUUAUAACUAUAUUACAAGUGUUGAUGUGUAGCCUGGUGGUUUGAGAAGCUGCAUGUAAGGCUGCCACUUUUUUGUGUAGGUCACGAUUUCUGUUCUUAGCACUGCCUUUUUCUCCUUUUUUUUCCCCUUGCCUUUUUUGUAACAAAUAAUAUCAACUGUCUGUUCUCAAUGAAUCUCAACCAUUCUUUUCCUCUUAUAUAUUCAUUCUUUUUCUUUACCAAAACCCUACAGCCCCUAUUCUUCUCCUUCCUCUUUUACCGCCUUCUUCUCCAUUUCUCCUCUAUGGCCUUUUUUUUCUCUCUCUUUUUUUUAAAUUACUACUGAGUUCUUAAGGUACGGAGAAAUUCACCGGUUAUUUCCUUGAUUUUGAAUAACGUUUUAAAAAGUAUGCUAGUUAGUUUCUCCAUUAAUUUUUUCGAUAAGUAUUUUACUAUUUAGUCCUUAUAAUUUUGAAAAAUUUAUUAGUUGGUUCUUCAGAUUUUUAAAAAUUUACUAAUCAGUCCCUCAAUAUCAGAGAGAUUUCAGACUUUUUUGCAAUGUUUAACAGGUAAAAUUAACAAAGUGACUAAUUAGUAGUCUUUUUAAAACAUCAGGAACGUUUUAAUAUAUAUUUUAAAAUUGAGGGACCAACUAGUGAAUCUCUCCAUACUAUACGGACUAAGUAUUAAUUCUCUUUUUUUUUUUUAAUUUUCUUCUGCUCAUUUGUUAUCCUUGCCUCUUCAUUUUCUCCUUUCCUUCUUUUCGAGAAACCUUGCUCUUCUCUCUUCAACCAGGACCACAACUGAUUACUUCCUUCUAAGAUGAAGCUGAUAGUCUGCAGUCGUCGAUGGUUUGAUGAAGCCUUGACCUUUCCUUUACAAACAAAGCCGUCGAAGGUGUGAUGCCAUAGGAGAUGAAGUUGAUGGCAUGCUUUUUUUUUUCUCUCUCUCAGCUCAUUCUUAGGAGAUGGAGUGGAUUAGAUUUCUGAAAAUAAGUGUUGCUUAUGAAUAAGCUCUUGUUUUUUGGUUUUGAAUAUUAUUUGUAUACAACUUUGAUCGAUGAUAUGGACAAGUGUGAAUGAUUAAUUGAUGUUUGAAUCUUGUUUGAUGAAUUUCCUCAAUGGAAGCAUGGGUAUAUUUAUAUUUUUCAUUGAAUUUUAAAUUGAUUUGUGUGCAACUUUUGAUUGACAUAUAGAAAUGUGAUUGAAUAGUCGAUGCAUUAGUUCUGUUCGAUGAAAUUACUCAAAGAAUAAAAGAAGCAGUUAAAAAAUUUGUAUUUUUAGAUGAAUAUGAACUUGAUAUCAAACUGAUUUUUGACUUGAAUCGAACUGAAAACUUGCUGUUCAAUUCAAUUUGGUUCCUUCACUAGUUUAGUUCGAUUUGGUUUUGGAUGGUUUGGUUCAGUAGUGAACCGAACCGACAGAUGCUCAGCCCUACUUUUUGCCUCUCGCCUAGAGCGAUAGAAGAUCCUGUCGUCUUAGUGUCGCCUUUUGCCUUAAUAACAUUGGUAUCAUCCCCUAUUGCCCUAGUGUCCGCCUUUUGCCUUAAUAACAUUUGUAUCAUCAUUAUUAUAGUAUUUAUAACUUUUUACUAUCAAAGAAUAUUUGUAAUGUUACUUUUUUUUUAAGAAAUAUUACUUAAUAUUUAUUAUCUAGUAUUUAUUAUUUACAUUAAAAACAUAUUUAUAUCUAAUAUAUUAAAUUAAUUCCUAUAUAUUGUGAUAGCAUUAACUUUUUUUUAUUACAAAUUUAAAAUAAAUUAUAAAUUAUUAUAUUUGUUCAAAUAUUUUUUAAUAAUUACACUAUAAUUUUAAAUAGUAAAUUAUCUUUAGAAAAAAGUAAUAUUAAGGUAAAUAUAAAUAUGCAUUUAUAAAUAUAAAAAAAUUAAAAUAUUUAGGUGAACUACAAAUGCUAUAACUCAUGAACAUAUUUAAUGAGUUUAUAAAUGAGUCUAUCAUUGAAUCUAUUUGUGAGCCUUAUAAAUGAGCUUGUUCACAAGGCAACUCAUGAGCUUGUUAGUGAGCCUGGUCAAUGAGCUGGCUCUUGAGUUUAUUCAUGAACUUGAAAAUGAGUUGAGCUCGCAAUUCAGCUCGUUUAUUAAACAAUCAAUUGAGCUUGAGCUUGGCUCUUUUUCUAGUCGAGCUUUUAUCUAGCCAAAUCAUGAAUAGCUCAUAAAUAGCUGGGUUUAUUUACACUCUACUUUACUGGUACACAUGGUUUUUGAAUGCUUAUUUGCUUAUUACGGUCUCCGAGUGUCUGUUUAUCAUUUCUGCAAUGACAACUGAAUAAGACCAGUGGCCAAAGGGAGUGCUGGAAUUCAUAUAAAAUUUGAAUUUUUUUCGCUUGACAUUGUCGUAUAGUGAAAGUCUAAGCAGCAAGGAGAAGAAACGUCUAUCGUUAAAAUUCCCCUCCUCUAGAUGAACUAAGAGAUGGUUUCCCAUGUUGACUGUGGAGAAUAUUUUUCCGUUGUGGAGAACAUUUUUCUGUUAUGUUUUUACUCUCUGGUUCUUUUAGUGAAGGAAUUGAUUAUGCCUAAAAAAGCUUGAAGAUUUGAGCAUAUUGAAAUCAUAGGAGACAAGAAGAUGAUAGGGAGACCUAAAAUAAUAUGGGGUAAAGUGGUGAAUAACAAUUAAGCAGUCUUAGACUUUUCUAUAAAUAUAGCCCUAAACUUAAACUACAAUAUAUGUAGAUUUAUUUGAACAAUUUAUUGUACAAGAAAAUAAUUCAAAUAAAUUAUUACACAAACAAUGCAUAAUUUCAAUUUAUUUUAAAAUGGAAGUUUUUUUUAAAGUUGAAAAGAAUUGAAAUUUUUUAUUUCAAACAAGAGAAUUAGCAAAAAGGAUAUCAAUUGAAUUGAUUGUUUAUAAAAUUCUUGAUUCCAAACAAGAGAUUACUGGAAUGAAAGAUACUUCACUGCUGCUCCAAGAUUAACAUGACAGUUGAGGCACAUGAUAGCAUUGCCUCUCACUAUCAGUUUGGUUGUGUGAACCAUGACAUGUUAACUUAAGAAUAUCUUGAAUAUAUUGUUUCAAUAGCAAGUUUAUGUAUGGAGGUCCUAAAUUCAUCAUUGCUUGGUGAAGUCUGAUUUGAGCCCUGGUUAAGUUAUACCUGCAGCAGAGGAUGGUCGCAUGUUAGCUUUUGAUCUCGUAUCUGUCAUUGCCAUUGAAUUGAACACCAAGGGAAAGUGUCUCUUAGGGUAGAAAGCAUUCACCCAGCUUAAGGAGGUUUGCAUUAGUGACCUGCAAUUAAACUAUAUAUAUAGUCGAAUCACAUUAGAUUGGGAAGUUGGGAUUGAGUUCUAGUCGAGUGGAGUUAAAAAUAACAAAUACACUUAAUGUAAUGCAUUUCUAAUGGCUGUGGUCUACUCACCAGUUGAAAUGAGGCAAUACCAUAAAACAUCAAAUGAAAAGAACACUUGUGUAUGUUUCAUCUUUGUACCAUUUUUUCAUUGGUUGGUUCAUAUUGUAUGGGAGUUUCAAAUUUUCAAUGGCAAUCUGGUGUUAGUCGAAUCAUUACUUUGGAUUUUCUAUGCACUUCCCUAUUUAUUUGCUUAUGUAAUCUAAAGGAAUAUGAAGACCUUUUGUAUAGCCAUUUUGCUUGAUGUUGUUGUUUUAUUUCUUCACUUGUAGAGAUGGUUGAAGCAAUGAAGAAAGUUGCAAAGUUGGAUAUAGAAUUGACAGUGGAGGAGAGGAAUCUACUGUCUGUAGGUUACAAAAAUGUCAUUGGAGCAAGAAGGGCAUCUUGGCGGAUAUUGUCCUCCAUUGAACAAAAGGAGGAGGCAAAGGGAAAUGAGCAAAAUGUGAAAAGAAUAAAGGAGUACCGGCAGAGGGUUGAAGAUGAGCUCGCAAAGAUCUGCAAUGACAUAUUAACAGUGAUUGAUCAACACCUUCUACCCUCCUCCACCACAGGCGAAUCAACAGUUUUUUACUAUAAGAUGUGAGAUUUUCAUUUCUUGUGGUUUGACAUUCAAGUCAUUUUAAGAUGGGGGAAAAUGACUCUGGGCUUAGAAAUUUUAGAAGGAUAGAGUAUAGAAGGUCAUAAAAAUGUAGCUUUAAGUUAGAUAGCUUGGUCUUUGCUAUGGAUCAGUGGACCCAAAUUCAUUUAUGUAUAAUAAGCAUUGGGAAGCAUCGGGAGUUUUUAUAACAUCUUUAUUAUUGGAUGAAACAAUCAUGGACAUGAAGGGGAUUAAGGUCUAAAAACUGCAUUACUAUGAGUUUGUUACUGUCCAUUUGGUUGUAGAUGCAUUUUGCUUCUUCCAGUGUAUAUUUAUUGGCUUAGAAUCUGGAUGUGGAGUUUGCAUCUCUUAUUUUGGAUUUAAAUAUUAAUCUAAUCACUCAUGAUGCAUUUGUGAAUUCCUUUUGUUUUCUUUCUUGGGGUUAGGAAAGGAGAUUACUAUCGCUAUUUAGCUGAGUUUAAAGCCAGUGAAGAUCGCAAAGAAGCUGCAGAUCAGUCCCUUAAGGCUUAUGAGGUGUUUGCCAUUCUCCUGUUUGACUUUGUCUUCUAUAUCGUUCUGUCAUUUUAGAGUAUCUAACUGAUCAUUUCCUAAGAUUACUGCAUCUAUUUAUAGGCUGCUACUUCUACUGCAACCUCAGACUUACCCCCUACUCAUCCAAUCAGACUUGGCCUGGCUCUGAACUUUUCUGUUUUCUACUAUGAGAUUUUGAACUCCCCUGAAAGGUUAAUAAGCACCUCUCUCUUUUU
rnacentral:lncRNA from 1 species